CCUACGGGGGACAGCAGUGAGGAAUAUUGGUCAAUGGGCGCGAGCCUGAACCAGCCAAGUAGCGUGAAGGAUGACUGCCCUACGGGUUGUAAACUUCUUUUAUAAAGGAAUAAAGUGAGGCACGUGUGCCUUUAUGUAUGUAAUUUAUAAAUAAGGAUCGGCUAAAUCCGUGCCAGCAGCCGCUGUAAUAAGGGGGAUCCGAGCGUUAUCCGGAUUUAUUGGGGUUAAAGGGAGCGUAGAUGGGUGUUUAAGUCAGUUGUGAAAGUUUGGGGCUCAACCGUAAAAUUGCAAUUGAUACUGGCAGGCUUGAGUACAGUUGAGGUAGGCGGAAUUCGUGGUGUAGCGGUGAAAUGCUUAGAUAUCACGAAGAACGCCGAUUGCGAAGGCAGCUUACUAAACUUCCACUGACAUUGAGGCUCGAAAGUGUGGGUAUCGAACAGGAUUAGAUACCCCAGUAGUC
rnacentral:rRNA from 1 species